ensembl:snRNA U5 U5 spliceosomal RNA
AUACUUUGUUUUCUUUUCAAAUAAUGUAGAUCUUUUGCCUUUCACUAAAGAUUUCCAUGGGGACAAAUAGAUUUGAGUCACUAUGGGACUUUUUGAGGCAUUGUGUUUUACCGAUGC